CUAAACACUCCCCAGCUGGAUAUAAAACUGAAUUAUUAAAAAAAUAAUUAUACAACGCACAAAAUAUGCUGUUACUAAUUAGAUAUUUGAUUGACGACAGUCUUGUUUGAGAGUUUCUGUGGAUCAUAGUCUUCUGUCUUUAUUUGAAAAAUCAAUUGUUAAAUAAUAUAUCAAACUAUGAGUUCGCCAUCAUUGAAUGUAUUUUGUCCAAAACAUUGAGAUUCUGAAGCACCAAUAUCAGAUAUUACAGAGAUCUUAUCAGAAAAUGACACUUAAAAAUUUCUACAUAUCAUAUGAAUUUGGCAAAUCAGGGUUUACCAAAGUGAAGGAUUUGGCCGGAGCAACGCUUGCAAAAACCAACUUGGUUAAAUUGUCAGGAGAUACCCUAUUGCUGCUUUAUGGAGCUAUGGACGUAUAAACUAAUGACAUUCAAAUUUUCUAGAUUAUAUUUAUAUAAUUAUAUACAUUUUUUUUUCGGAUAUAUAGUGAACGCCUAGUUUGUCGACAAGAGCACCGAACAAAAUUGGAUAGAUUUCUACCUAUAGACAACUGGUAAACAGUAAAAGAAGGACGUUUCACCAAAAGUUUACGCGUGCAACGAUUGAGAUCAGUGGCGUCUGCAGGGGGGGGGCUAAUGGGCUGAAGCCCCCCCCCCCCAUUGCCAUAUUUUUAUUACUUUUUCAAAAAUAUU